rnacentral:lncRNA from 1 species
UGUUUCUUUGUUUGGGACGUAAUAAGGUCGCUAUUGAAAACGUAAUCGUACACGCUUGACCGGCGGGUAUCCCUAUACCUCCACUCCUCGUACCUACCAUAAACCGUGGCGAUAAAUAAAUCGAGGUAUCAGUUUAGUCUUGGAGAUCGAAGCGGUUGGACGUUAGGUUAGUACACAUUUUGGUAGACACAUUUGCCGGUAAACUCGUUUCAUUAUUGGUUGAUCACAUGUAUUCAAAUACAUAUUACGAUGAUCGAUCACGGAUCUGGAAAAUAUUCAUACAGAUAUGAAGCAAUUCCAUGCUAUGUAGUACAUAACAUGUAGCGUUAGCAUCUGGCGAUCCAGCGAUCGAUCCGGAAUUUUUCUGAUAACCGAUAUCAUCAUAUUGAAUGACACGCAGUAAAAAUUUUAAAAACG